UGGGUCAGCGACUUAUAUUCUGUAGCAAGGUUAACCGUAUAGGGGAGCCGCAGGGAAACCGAGUCUUAACUGGGCGUUAAGUUGCAGGGUAUAGACCCGAAACCCGGUGAUCUAGCCAUGGGCAGGUUGAAGGUUGGGUAACACUAACUGGAGGACCGAACCGACUAAUGUUGAAAAAUUAGCGGAUGACUUGUGGCUGGGGGUGAAAGGCCAAUCAAACCGGGAGAUAGCUGGUUCUCCCCGAAAGCUAUUUAGGUAGCGCCUCGUGAACUCAUCUUCGGGGGUAGAGCACUGUUUCGGCUAGGGGGUCAUCCCGACUUACCAACCCGAUGCAAACUACGAAUACCGAAGAAUGUUAUCACGGGAGACACACGGCGGGUGCUAACGUCCGUCGUGAAGAGGGAAACAACCCAGACCGCCAGCUAAGGUCCCAAAGUCAUGGUUAAGUGGGAAACGAUGUGGGAAGGCACAGACAGCCAGGAUGUUGGCUUAGAAGCAGCCAUCAUUUAAAGAAAGCGUAAUAGCUCACUGGUCGAGUCGGCCUGCGCGGAAGAUGUAACGGGGCUAAACCAUGCACCGAAGCUGCGGCAGCGACACUAUGUGUUGUUGGGUAGGGGAGCGUUCUGUAAGCCUGCGAAGGUGACCUGUGAGGGUUGCUGGAGGUAUCAGAAGUGCGAAUGCUGACAUAAGUAACGAUAAAGCGGGUGAAAAGCCCGCUCGCCGGAAGACCAAGGGUUCCUGUCCAACGUUAAUCGGGGCAGGGUGAGUCGACCCCUAAGGCGAGGCCGAAAGGCGUAGUCGAUGGGAAACAGGUUAAUAUUCCUGUACUUGGUGUUACUGCGAAGGGGGGACGGAGAAGGCUAUGUUAGCCGGGCGACGGUUGUCCCGGUUUAAGCAUGUAGGCUGGUUAUCCAGGCAAAUCCGGAUAAUCAAGGCUGAGGUGUGAUGACGAGGCACUACGGUGCUGAAGUAACAAAUGCCCUGCUUCCAGGAAAAGCCUCUAAGCAUCAGGUAACAUCAAAUCGUACCCCAAACCGACACAGGUGGUCAGGUAGAGAAUACCAAGGCGCUUGAGAGAACUCGGGUGAAGGAACUAGGCAAAAUGGUGCCGUAACUUCGGGAGAAGGCACGCUGGUGUGUAGGUGAAGCCCCUGCGGGUGGAGCUGAGACCAGUCGAAGAUACCAGCUGGCUGCAACUGUUUAUUAAAAACACAGCACUGUGCAAACACGAAAGUGGACGUAUACGGUGUGACGCCUGCCCGGUGCCGGAAGGUUAAUUGAUGGGGUUAUCCGUAAGGAGAAGCUCUUGAUCGAAGCCCCGGUAAACGGCGGCCGUAACUAUAACGGUCCUAAGGUAGCGAAAUUCCUUGUCGGGUAAGUUCCGACCUGCACGAAUGGCGUAAUGAUGGCCAGGCUGUCUCCACCCGAGACUCAGUGAAAUUGAACUCGCUGUGAAGAUGCAGUGUACCCGCGGCAAGACGGAAAGACCCCGUGAACCUUUACUAUAGCUUGACACUGAACAUUGAGCCUUGAUGUGUAGGAUAGGUGGGAGGCUUUGAAGCGUGGACGCCAGUCUGCGUGGAGCCAACCUUGAAAUACCACCCUUUAAUGUUUGAUGUUCUAACGUUGGCCCCUGACCGGGGUUGCGGACAGUGUCUGGUGGGUAGUUUGACUGGGGCGGUCUCCUCCCAAAGCGUAACGGAGGAGCACGAAGGUUAGCUAAUCCUGGUCGGACAUCAGGAGGUUAGUGCAAUGGCAUAAGCUAGCUUGACUGCGAGCGUGACGGCGCGAGCAGGUGCGAAAGCAGGUCAUAGUGAUCCGGUGGUUCUGAAUGGAAGGGCCAUCGCUCAACGGAUAAAAGGUACUCCGGGGAUAACAGGCUGAUACCGCCCAAGAGUUCAUAUCGACGGCGGUGUUUGGCACCUCGAUGUCGGCUCAUCACAUCCUGGGGCUGAAGUAGGUCCCAAGGGUAUGGCUGUUCGCCAUUUAAAGUGGUACGCGAGCUGGGUUUAGAACGUCGUGAGACAGUUCGGUCCCUAUCUGCCGUGGGCGCUGGAGAAUUGAGGGGGGCUGCUCCUAGUACGAGAGGACCGGAGUGGACGCAUCACUGGUGUUCGGGUUGUCAUGCCAAUGGCACUGCCCGGUAGCUAAAUGCGGAAGAGAUAAGUGCUGAAAGCAUCUAAGCACGAAACUUGCCCCGAGAUGAGUUCUCCCUGAGACUUUAAGUCUCCUGAAGGAACGUUGAAGACGACGACGUUGAUAGGCCGGGUGUGUAAGCGCAGCGAUGCGUUGAGCUAACCGGUACUAAUGAACCGUGAGGCUUAACCUU
rnacentral:rRNA from 1 species